rnacentral:rRNA from 1 species
GUCUAUGGCCAUGCUACCCUGAACAAGCCCAAUCCCAUCUGAUCUUGGAAAUUAAGCAGGGUUGGGCCUGGUUAGUGCUUGGAUGGGAGACCACCUAAGAAGACCAGGUGCUGUAGGCG